rnacentral:rRNA from 1 species
UACGUAGGGUGCAAGCGUUGUCCGGAAUUAUUGGGCGUAAAGAGCUCGUAGGCGGUUUGUCGCGUCGGCUGUGAAAUCCCGAGGCUCAACCUCGGGCCUGCAGUCGAUACGGGCAAACUAGAGUGUGGUAGGGGAGACUGGAAUUCCUGGUGUAGCGGUGAAAUGCGCAGAUAUCAGGAGGAACACCGGUGGCGAAGGCGGGUCUCUGGGCCGAUACUGACGCUGAGGAGCGAAAGCGUGGGGAGCGAACAGG